ACGGUCAAAUAACUUUGAAACACCGGUUCCCGUACGAUCACCGAAGUUAAACAACGUUGAGCCUGGUCAGUACUUAGAUGGGUGACUGCUUGAGAAUACCAGAUGCU